rnacentral:rRNA from 1 species
AUAUUUCUUCUAAAGCUAAAUACCGGCCAGAGACCGAUAGCGAACAAGUAGAGUGAUCGAAAGAUGAAAAGCACUUUGAAAAGAGGGUUAAACAGCACGUGAAAUUGUUAAAAGGGAAGCGCUUGUGACCAGACUUGCGUCCGGUGAAUCACCCAGCUCUCGCGGCUGGGGCACUUCGCCGGCUCAGGCCAGCAUCAGCUCGCUGUCGGGGACAAAAGCUUCAGGAACGUAGCUCUCUUCGGGGAGUGUUAUAGCCUGUUGCAUAAUACCCUUCGGCGGGCUGAGGUACGCGCUCCGCAAGGAUGCUGGCAUAAUGGUCAUCAGC